UACGGGGGGGGCAAGCGUUGUUCGGAAUUACUGGGCGUAAAGGGCCAGUAGGCGGCCAACUAAGUCGGAUGUGAAAUCCCCAGGCUUAACCUGGGAACUGCAUCCGAUACUGGAUGGCUUGAAUUCGGGAGAGGGAUGUAGAAUUCCAGGUGUAGCGGUGAAAUGCGUAGAUAUCUGGAGGAAUACCGGUGGCGAAGGCGGCAUCCUGGACCAUAACUGACGCUGAGGCGCGAAAGCUAGGGGAGCAAACGGG
rnacentral:rRNA from 1 species